rnacentral:rRNA from 1 species
AAUGAACGUUGGCGGCGUGGAUUAGGCAUGCAAGUCGCGCGGGUGUAGCAAUACACCAGCGGCGUAAGGGACAGUAAUGUAUAGGUACCUGCCCUCGGGACGGGGAUAGCGGUGGGAAACUGCCGGUAAUACCCGAUGACGUCUUCGGACCAAAGGUGUGAGUCCGCCCGGGGAUGGGCCUGUAUCCUAUUAGCUUGUUGGCGGGGUAACGGCCCACCAAGGGGAUGAUGGGUAGCAGGUGUGAGAGCACGACCUGCGUCAUUGGGACUGAGACACUGCCCAGACACCUACGGGUGGCUGCAGUCGAGAAUCUUCGGCAAUGGGCGCAAGCCUGACCGAGCGACGCCGCGUGCGGGAUGAAGGCCUUCGGGUUGUAAACCGCUGUCAGUGGGGAGGAAGGCUCCGUGAAGAGCGGGGUUUGACCUAUCCGCAGAGGAAGGACGGGCUAAGUUCGUGCCAGCAGCCGCCGUAAAAC